GACAGAGGGUGCAAACGUUGUUCGGAAUUACUGGGCGUAAAGCGUGUGUAGGCGGCCACGUAAGUCGGAUGUGAAAAGCCCCUGGGCUCAACCCCAGGAAGUGCACUCGAUACUGCGUGGCUCGAGUACUGGAGAGGUUGGUGGAAUUCUCGGUGUAGAGGUGAAAUUCGUAGAUAUCGAGAGGAACACCGGUGGCGAAGGCGGCCAACUGGACAGAUACUGACGCUGAGACACGAAAGCGUGGGGAGCAAACAGG
rnacentral:rRNA from 1 species